AUCGCUUCUCGGCCUUUUGGCUAAGAUCAAGUGUAGUAUCUGUUCUUAUCAGUUUAUUCUACUCUUAAGGGACUCAAAGAACAGUGGAAAUCUAACCACCAUAAAUAUAUACUAUAAAGGGUUCAUCAGAGAAGACAAACAGAAUAACUAAUUCUUCCCUGAUAUGUAAAAAAGGAGGAAUCUGGUGAGUCUAA